rnacentral:tRNA from 1 species
GCCAGGAUGGCCGAGUUGGUUAAGGCGAUCGCCUCAAGAGCGAUUGGAUGUUAUGUCCGCGUAGGUUCGAGCCCUACUUCUGGCA